UGCCAGCCGCCGCGGUGAUACGGAGGGUCCAAGCGUUAUCCGGAUUCAUUGGGUUUAAAGGGUGCGCAGGCGGAACUUUAAGUCAGUGGUGAAAUCUUGCCGCUUAACGGUGAAAUUGCCAUUGAUACUGAAGUUCUUGAAUAUGGUUGAGGUAGGCGGAAUGUGUUGUGUAGCGGUGAAAUGCAUAGAUAUGACACAGAACGCCAAUUGCGAAGGCAGCUUACUAAGCCAUGAUUGACGCUGAGGCGCGAAAGCGUGGGGAGCGAACAGGAUUAGAUA
rnacentral:rRNA from 1 species